rnacentral:rRNA from 1 species
AUUGAACGCUGGCGGUAGGCCUAACACCUGCAAGUCGAACGAGUGGCGGACGGGUGAGUAAUGUCUGGGACACUGCCUGAUGGCGGGGGAUAACUACUGGCAACGGUAGCUAAUACCGCAUACCAUCGGAUGUGCCCAGAUGGGAUUAGCUAGUAGGUGGGGUAAAGGCGCACCUAGGCGACGAUCCCUAGCUGGUCUGAGAGGAUGACCAGCCACUCUGGAACUGAGACACGGUCCAGACUCCUACGGGAGGCAGCAGUGGGGAAUAUUGCACAAUGGGCGCAAGCCUGAUGCAGCCAUGCCGCGUGUAGGAAGAAGGCCGUCGGGUUGUAAAGUAAUUUCAGCGGGGAGGCGUUACCCGCAGAAGAAGCACCGGCUAACUCCGUGCCAGCAGCCGCGGUAAUUC